UACGUAGGGUGCGAGCGUUAAUCGGAAUUACUGGGCGUAAAGCGUGCGCAGGCGGUUCGCCAAGUCAGGUGUGAAAUCCCCGGGCUUAACCUGGGAAUUGCGCUUGAAACUAGCGGCUUGAGUGUGGCAGAGGGGGUGGAAUUCCACGUGUAGCAGUGAAAUGCGUAGAGAUGUGGAGGAACACCGAUGGCGAAGGCAGCCCCCUGGGUCAACACUGACGCUCAUGCACGAAAGCGUGGGGAGCAAACAGG
rnacentral:rRNA from 1 species